rnacentral:rRNA from 1 species
UACGAAGGGGACUAGCGUUGUUCGGAAUCACUGGGCGUAAAGCGCGUGUAGGCGGCUUUGCAAGUCGGGUGUGAAAGCCCUCAGCUCAACUGAGGAAGUGCGCCCGAAACUGCAGAGCUUGAGUGCCGGAGAGGGUGGCGGAAUUCCCCAAGUAGAGGUGAAAUUCGUAGAUAUGGGGAGGAACACCGGUGGCGAAGGCGGCCACCUGGACGGUAACUGACGCUGAGACGCGAAAGCGUGGGGAGCAAACAGG